AGAGUUUGAUCCUGGCUCAGGACGAACGCUGGCGGCGUGCUUAACACAUGCAAGUCGAACGGACCUUAUUUUAAAGCUUGCUUUUUUAUAAGGUUAGUGGCGGACGGGUGAGUAACACGUGGAUAAUCUGCCUGUAACACUGGGAUAACACCGUGAAAAUGGUGCUAAUACCGGAUACCUCGAUUGGAGCGCAUGCUUUGAUCAAGAAAGCUUUAGCGGUUACAGAUGAAUCCGCGGCUGAUUAGCUAGUUGGUAGGGUAACGGCCUACCAAGGCGACGAUCAGUAGCCGGCCUGAGAGGGUGAACGGCCACACUGGGACUGAGACACGGCCCAGACUCCUACGGGAGGCAGCAGUGGGGAAUAUUCCGCAAUGGGCGAAAGCCUGACGGAGCAACGCCGCGUGAGUGAGGAAGGCCUUCGGGUUGUAAAGCUCUGUCUUAUGGGAAGAAGAAAGUGACGGUACCAUAGGAGGAAGCCACGGCUAACUACGUACCAGCAGCCGCGGUAAAACGUAGGUGGCAAGCGUUGUCCGGAAUUACUGGGCGUAAAGGGCGCGCAGGCGGGCUCUUAAGUCAGGUGUGUAAUCUAUCGGCUCAACCGAUAGUUUGCAUCUGAUACUGGGAGUCUUGAGUGCAGGAGAGGGCAGUGGAAUUCCUAGUGUAGCGGUGAAAUGCGUAGAUAUUAGGAGGAACACCAGUGGCGAAGGCGGCUGCCUGGACUGUAACUGACGCUGAGGCGCGAAAGCGUGGGGAGCGAACAGGAUUAGAUACCCUGGUAGUCCACGCCGUAAACGAUGGGUACUAGGUGUAGGGGGUAUCGACCCCCUCUGUGCCGGAGUUAACACAAUAAGUACCCCGCCUGGGGAGUACGGCCGCAAGGUUGAAACUCAAAGGAAUUGACGGGGGCCCGCACAAGCGGUGGAGCAUGUGGUUUAAUUCGACGCAACGCGAAGAACCUUACCAGGCCUUGACAUCCUCUGAUAACCUAAGAGAUUAGGCAUUUGAUCUUCGGAUCGACAGAGAGACAGGUGGUGCAUGGUUGUCGUCAGCUCGUGUCGUGAGAUGUUGGGUUAAGUCCCGCAACGAGCGCAACCCUUAUCAUUAGUUGCCAGCACUUCGGGUGGGCACUCUAAAGAGACUGCCGGUGACAAACCGGAGGAAGGUGGGGACGACGUCAAAUCAUCAUGCCCUUUAUGGCCUGGGCCACACACGUGCUACAAUGGUCUGUACAAAGGGUUGCUAAGUCGCGAGACGGAGCUAAUCCCAUAAAGCCGAUCUCAGUUCGGAUUGUAGGCUGCAACUCGCCUACAUGAAGUCGGAAUCGCUAGUAAUCGCGGAUCAGAAUGCCGCGGUGAAUACGUUCCCGGGCCUUGUACACACCGCCCGUCACACCACGAAAGUUAGCAACACCCGAAGCCGAUGAAGCAACCUUUUAGGAGCAAGUCGUCGAAGGUGGGGUUGAUGAUUGGGGUGAAGUCGUAACAAGGUAACC
rnacentral:rRNA from 1 species